GACGAACGCUGGCGGCGUGCUUAACACAUGCAAGUCGAACGGUGACCCUCGGAGCUUGCUUCGGGGUGAACAGUGGCGAACGGGUGAGUAACACGUGAGUAACCUGCCCCUGACUCUGGAAUAAGCGCUGGAAACGGCGUCUAAUACCGGAUACGACACGCCUUCGCAUGGGGAGCGUGUGGAAAGUUUUUCGGUCUGGGAUGGACUCGCGGCCUAUCAGCUUGUUGGUGAGGUAAUGGCUCACCAAGGCGAUGACGGGUAGCCGGCCUGAGAGGGCGACCGGCCACACUGGGACUGAGACACGGCCCAGACUCCUACGGGAGGCAGCAGUGGGGAAUAUUGCACAAUGGGCGAAAGCCUGAUGCAGCGACGCCGCGUGAGGGAUGACGGCCUUCGGGUUGUAAACCUCUUUCAGCAGGGAAGAAGCGAAAGUGACGGUACCUGCAGAAGAAGCACCGGCUAACUACGUGCCAGCCGCCGCCGCGGUAA
rnacentral:rRNA from 1 species